rnacentral:tRNA from 1 species
GGUGGCUCAGUGGUAGAGUGCUUGCCUUGAAUGCAUGAGGUCCUGGGUUCGAUUCCUCAGCACCA